GUUCAUAGCUAAAUUCAGAUGCUCCAGCCUGGCCCUCGCAUGAAAGGCUUCGGGAAAACGCCCGGGAGCAGAGAGGCUGAGAGCACACCUUCAUCAACAGGAAACUUACUAAACCGCCUGCUAGAAUCCAAUGCUCUCCUAGGGACUUCAGAAAAGGGGACAGACCCCAAACAAAGACACACCACACACUGGGUGCUCUGAAGGCGUUUAUGGCCUCACUGGGGAGAUGAGGUGCACACGUGAAGCAGGUCAGCAGUGUAACAGUGCUCGGACCUUUCCCUGAUGUCACACUGGAGAGGACAGAAAGCCCAGCCAGUGAGUCCCCACGAGAGGUCAGGGACACGUGCCUUGGCAGCUACCACACGCAAAGUCAAACCCCACCCCCACAAGUCCCUGAACCUUUCUGAACCUCCAGUUCCUCCUCAACACAGUGAGGGUAAUAACAGUCACCAUUUCACAGGGCUGUUCCGGGGUUUACACGAUUGAGGUGGUUGCAUGUGAAGAAUUUAGGACAGGACCUGGCAUAGAUGCAUUAGGGCUCCGUCAAAUAGUAGCUGGCUCCUGCAGAGCCAGGAAUGCAACCUGGAUGAUGGGACCCUGAUCCAGUGCCCUUUGCUCCGUAUCACAGAGACCUGUGUGGUGCUAGUGUCCAAUGAAGACUGAGAGUAACUCCUGUCGUAGCUGAGAAGAUGGUGAAAGCAAUGCCAGUGGAAGAGUAGAAAAAAACAUGAAUGGAGUGAAACAUUGGGGAAAAGAAGGUAGGAUAUUUCAAAUCAGUAGCUUAUUGGGGACCGAACUGCUAGGUUCUCUCUUAAACAACACACCUCAUUGCAUUUCAUAUUUUUUUCAAUGAUUUUUAUUUUUUCCAUUAUGGUUGGUUUACAGUGCAUUUCAUCUUUACAAUAGCUCUUUCGACAAAUUCUUAAUUUUACAGAUGGGAAACUUAAUCUUGGAGAGGUUUAAAAACUUGUUGAAUGUCACAAGGCUGGUCAAAGGUGAAGUUAGGAUUUGAACAGCUGAUUUCAGAUUUCAAAGGACUCCCUGCCCUUAAGCAGAGAGCAGAGCGGUCUCAAUGACGGGAGAAACGUGAGUCCUGGCAACUUUGUGGAUGAGUGGCAAAGACAGGGCCUGAAAGAAGUAGAGUGAAUUCGGGAGUAGGGUGGAGUCCAGAUGGAAUACAGGUGGUGAGAGCAGGCCAGAAGGAGAGAAAAGGGGGAUAUAACAUUUUGGACAGACGGAAGCCAGCCGGGGUGUCAGCCUGAAGAUGAGAGGUUUGCUCUGCUUGGUUUAAAGGAGUCUUUCACUUUUUUCCCCACUGGUUAGGCUGCAAUGUUCCUCUUUUUAGACUCUUUUUUUCUUAAGAAUUUGAUUUUAACUUCUCUGAUUAAUUCCUGCCAGACAAUGAAUAUCCGGGGGAUCCAGGAAGAGUUCAUUCACCUCAUCACAGGAAGUGGCUUCAUCCUAAAUUCAAAAUUGAAACUGACUCACUACAGAAUCAAUAACGAUGAUGGCCAAGACAGCAGCAGUCUCUUGAAGGCCAGAAUCCCUGACACCGCCCAUUAAUGAGACACGAGAGGGAAAAGUUCAGCGAUGUUACUAAGAGCCACUCUGAGAAUAUGUUUAAAUAAAAGGCUCUGUGGGUGAUGAGCUCAUCUUCAUAGACCUAAGGCCUUCGAGAGAAAGGAAUGGCCUUUGAAUGUCUUGGAUUCUAUUCAAUUAAAUUGAAUUACCUAAAUAUAAUUUAUCGUAGAGUACAGAAGAUGUAUUUAUUUAAAUGGAAAUAUUUAUAGAUUUCUGCUUUUUUGCAGGGGCAUGUUAUUGCCCAUGUAUCCGUGAGUCCUUCAGAGAAUGACCUUACAUCCUGUCCAAGCCAUUUUAAAGACUGCUCUCGGAACACUCUAGAGCAGGACACCACGUCCCGUUCCCCAUCCAUGGCCCUGAGAAAUGAGGCCGGCUCCUUCCAGGGGCUCUUGGGCUUUCGACUUCAGAAGAGCCUAUAUUCUUCAAGAGAAUUCAAAAGGGAGUGAUGAGCACCAGACUGUUUCCACUUCUUCCCAGCUUUUGUCUCAUUCCCCUGCAAUAAGAGCGCCAGAUGAACCCUGAAUCUCUAGAAGUUAUCUACCUCUUGCAAAUGUCUGAUCCAUAGAAGAUAUUUAGAAUGCACAAUGCGAUGACUUGAUAUAGGUCAACAUUGUGAAAGGAUUACUUCCCAUUGAGUUAACAUGUCCAUCACCUCACGUUAUCCUUUUCGGCGGGACGGUGGCCUGAGCAUCCAGUUUCUCAUAAGAGAGAAUCUGCCAUGGAGUCCACAGGCCUGGAACACCAUUAAGGAGAAGACAAUAAAGAGAGAGAAGACUGAGGAAUUACCCCAGACAUCAUGAGGACACAGACUUUCUAUUGAAGGUACAAGAAGAGACAGCCAAACCCACAAGAUUUUUAUUUCUCCUGAACCUGAGGAGUUCAUUAAAACAAGGAGCAAAUGAGCCUUUCUGACACGUAAACCUUGGAGGAAGAUAAAAGAAACUCAUCGCACGCAAUGCACAUAGCAACAUCUCAGACCGAUGGCAUAGGAGAGAUCCUGACUUCUGACCAAGUUUUUAUCAGUCAGCUGAAGUCUUAGAAUUGAUCCAUCAUCCAUGACAUUAGUCAAACUCAAGAUCUACAGCAAACUCAGAGGAACACUAAGAACCACCCAGAUCUGUGUAAGGAGGAUGGAUGCAACAAAACUAGAUCUACAUGGAUACGUCUCAUAUUAAGUGAAGUCAGUCAGAAAGAGAAAGACAAACCAUA